rnacentral:tRNA from 1 species
GAGGGUAUAGCUCAGUGGUAGAGUGCAUGCUUUAGCAUGCACAGGGUCCUGGGUUCCAUCCCCAGUACCUCCA